CUGGCUCAGGAUGAACGCUGGCGGCGUGCUUAACACAUGCAAGUCGAACGCUGAAGCUCCCAGCUUGCUGGGGGUGGAUGAGUGGCGAACGGGUGAGUAUCACGUGAGUAACCUGUCCUUGACUCUGGGAUAAGCCCGGGAAACUGGGUCUAAUACUGGAUAGGACUGGCCAUCGCAUGGUGGUUGGUUGAAAGCUUUUGCGGUUUUGGAUGGACUCGCGGCCUAUCAGCUUGUUGGUGGGGUAAUGGCCUACCAAGGCUUUGACGGGUAGCCGGCCUGAGAGGGUGACCGGCCACACUGGGACUGAGACACGGCCCAGACUCCUACGGGAGGCAGCAGUGGGGAUAUUGCACAAUGGGCGCAAGCCUGAAUGCAGCGACGCCGCGUGAGGGAUGACGGCCUUCGGGUUGUAAACCUCUUUCAGUUGGGAAGAAGCCUUUCGGGGUGACGGUACCUUCAGAAGAAGCACCGGCUAACUACGUGCCAGCCGCAGC
rnacentral:rRNA from 1 species